rnacentral:rRNA from 1 species
AAGACGGUGGGCUGCAGUGGGGAAUAUUGGACAAUGGGCGAAAGCCUGAUCCAGCCAUGCCGCGUGUGUGAAGAAGGCCUUCGGGUUGUAAAGCACUUUCAGUGGGGAAGAAAGCCUUGGGGCUAAUACCCUCGAGGAAGGACAUCACCCACAGAAGAAGCACCGGCUAACUCCGUGCCAGCAGCCGCGGUAAUACGGAGGGUGCGAGCGUUAAUCGGAAUUACUGGGCGUAAAGCGCGCGUAGGCGGUCUGAUAAGCCGGUUGUGAAAGCCCCGGGCUCAACCUGGGAACGGCAUCCGGAACUGUCAGGCUAGAGUGCAGGAGAGGAAGGUAGAAUUCCCGGUGUAGCAGUGAAAUGCGUAGAGAUCGGGAGGAAUACCAGUGGCGAAGGCGGCCUUCUGGACUGACACUGACGCUGAGGUGCGAAAGCGUGGGUAGCAAACAGGAUUAGAUACCCCUGUAGUC